rnacentral:rRNA from 1 species
CCUACGGAGGCAGCAGUGGGGAAUAUUGGACAAUGGGGGCAACCCUGAUCCAGCGACGCCGCGUGUGUGAAGAAGGCCUGCGGGUUGUAAAGCACUUUUAGUGGGGACAAAAAGCCACGGGCUAAUACCUUGUGGUCUUGAUUUAACCCAAGAAAAAGCACCGGCUAACUCUGUGCCAGCAGCCGCGGUAAUACAGAGGGUGCGAGCGUUAAUCGGAAUUACUGGGCGUAAAGCGUGCGUAGACGGUUUCGUAAGUCGGGUGUGAAAGCCCCGGGCUCAACCUGGGAAUUGCAUUCGAAACUGCGAGGCUAGGGUACGGAAGAGGGAAGCGGAAUUUCUGGUGUAGCGGUGAAAUGCGUAGAUAUCAGAAGGAACAUCAGUGGCGAAGGCGGCUUCCUGGUCCAGUACCGACGUUCAGGCACGAAAGCGUGGGGAGCAAACAGGAUUAGAUACCCUGGUAGUCCACGCCUUAAACGAUGAGAACUAGACGUUGAGAGGGUUAGCCUCCCAGUGUCGUAGCUAACGCGCUAAGUUCUCCGCCUGGGGAGUACGGCCGCAAGGUUGAACUCAAUGAAUUGACGGCUGAGACGUGCGAGCGACGACGAGGGAGUAGG